rnacentral:lncRNA from 1 species
AUCAGAGACUCCCCACAAAGUUUGGUGAUUUUUGGGCAUAUUAAUAAAUUACUAAAAUUCAUAGAAAUUUUAUUUGCUAAUUAAAAGAGGCAAUUUUUAUACACUUGCAAACUAUGAGAAAACAGAACCUAAUAUUUUUGUUGGGUUCUACUUCUUUCAGGAAAUCUAUACAAAAAUUUCCAUGAUUUUUGGAUCAAUAUACUAUUUUCUACACAAUUCUACAAAUCAAGCAUUUUUAGGCAAAAAUAAAAAAAGAAAAACACACUGUGCUACGGUCGGUCCUUAAUCGACACAGACGGGGAUAGAUCCACACCCAAGACCUCCAUGCCUUGUUGUGUCCCAAUCAUCAUCCCGCCCGGUCUCCUUUCAUAUUAUUAACACAUGGUUCUUUUCCACGAUAGCAAAUAUAGCCAACCGUGAUCCGGAAUCCACCUAUAUCCUGCAGGUGACAGGAAAUCACCUGGCUUCUACCGAGCUAAGCAUUGCUAAGCAUAGACGCGAUCCUGACUAAUUAGAAUUCAGGUUAUAUAUAU